AGUGAACGCUGGCGGUAGGCCUAACACAUGCAAGUCGAACGGCAACACAGUAAGAGCUUGCUCUUACGGGUGGCGAGUGGCGGACGGGUGAGGAAUACAUCGGAAUCUACUUUUUCGUGGGGGAUAACGUAGGGAAACUUACGCUAAUACCGCAUACGACCUACGGGUGAAAGCAGGGGAUCUUCGGACCUUGCGCGAUUGAAUGAGCCGAUGUCGGAUUAGCUAGUUGGCGGGGUAAAGGCCCACCAAGGCGACGAUCCGUAGCUGGUCUGAGAGGAUGAUCAGCCACACUGGAACUGAGACACGGUCCAGACUCCUACGGGAGGCAGCAGUGGGGAAUAUUGGACAAUGGGCGCAAGCCUGAUACAGCCAUACCGCGUGGGUGAAGAAGGCCUUCGGGUUGUAAAGCCCUUUUGUUGGGAAAGAAAAGCAGCAGGUUAAUACCCCGCUGUUCUGACGGUACCCAAAGAAUAAGCACCGGCUAACUUCGUG
rnacentral:rRNA from 1 species